CCUGGCGGCGGUUUACAGGGCAUAGGGCUGCCUGCCGGGCUGGCUUGGAGAGGGCGGGGCGGAGGGGGAGCCCGCCCUGCGGGAGAGGGCGCAAAGGGUUGCGCAGAAGGAAGAAGCAGUACCGGCGGCGGCGGCGGCUGCCUCGGGGCGGGGCAGAAGGAAGGCAGGCGGGACUAGUAGUAGGCCGCUCAACCCCACGUUAGCAUAAAGCAGCCCAGGGUUUUCUCCAACCAGUUGUUUGCUUGCCUCAACCCAAACCUCCAUCAUUCACACCAGCACUUGGCAGUUGGCUACUUAGUGCUAAAGUCUCCCCACGGUCAGCUGUGAAUAAAGGAAUCCUGCACCUAGAAAGGUUGGCGGUGGGCGCCAAUGUGGAAGGCAGCCAUGCUCCCGCCCCAUGCCCCUUCUUCCUCUCCAGAGUAGCUCCCUCCAUCCCUUCUUCUGUCGGCAGCACUGCCUCCACUUCUCCCGGUCCUUACGAUCUCAGCCCCUCCCCUCUUCACCCCAUGAACGCCCAUUUGCUGCUAGCACCUGCGUUCACACUGUCACACCACCUGAAAAUACCACAAUAUGUUUAGCCACACACACAGCCCACUAGUUUCCUCUAUUCUCACAAUUUACACAUUUCCGGGAUAUGCAAUGCUAUGCACACAACAAGUACUUGGGAGUAAGUCCCGAUGAGUUAAUUAAGUCUUCUUUACUUGGACUAAUCUGUAUAUAAAUGGCUGCAAUUCUGUGCAACAUUUGCUUGAGAGAAUCCUUCAUCAGAUUUGAAAAUUAAACCAUAGAAGUCACAAACUGGUCCAAAGAACAUACGCAGCUGAGUCGGUGAACCAGCAGAAGAGCUUUGCUUUGGGAACAAUAUGGCAGUUCAGUUGCUGGCAUUCUUCCUGGGAUGACCUGUUCACCCAUGCAAGUCAAAUGAUGAACAUACAUUGCAAGUUGAUCCAGAAUGGGAAUGGAGAGGUGUAGCAGAAUGCACAUCCCAUUGCAAGUAACAGUGUGAACAGAUGAUGUCCAAUGGCACAUCCGGUUAAUGCCCAUGACUCCCAAACCAGCAAGUGAUACACACACAAAUCUUAACAUAAUCAGAAGAAUAUUUAUCAAGGGAUGUAAUAAAAAUCUAUUAUUUAUCAAGAGGUGUAAUCAAGUGUAAUAAAAUAAAACACAAAUAAAAAUAUACAUGUGUACCUGUU